UCCUCGUUAGCGUAGUAGGUGGCGCGUCAGUCUCAUAAUCUGAAGGUCGUGAGUUCGAUCCUCACACGGGGCA
rfam:Salmo salar isolate Sally breed double haploid chromosome ssa02, whole genome shotgun sequence.